GAUGAACGCUGGCGGCGUGCCUAAUACAUGCAAGUCGAGCGAACAGACGAGGAGCUUGCUCCUCUGACGUUAGCGGCGGACGGGUGAGUAACACGUGGAUAACCUACCUAUAAGACUGGGAUAACUUCGGGAAACCGGAGCUAAUACCGGAUAAUAUAUUGAACCGCAUGGUUCAAUAGUGAAAGACGGUUUUGCUGUCACUUAUAGAUGGAUCCGCGCCGCAUUAGCUAGUUGGUAAGGUAACGGCUUACCAAGGCAACGAUGCGUAGCCGACCUGAGAGGGUGAUCGGCCACACUGGAACUGAGACACGGUCCAGACUCCUACGGGAGGCAGCAGUAGGGAAUCUGCCGCAAUGGGCGAAAGCUUGACGGAGCAACGCCGCGUGAGUGAUGAAGGUCUUCGGAUCGUAAAACGCUGUUAUUAGGGAAGAACAAAUGUGUAAGUAACUAUGCACGUCUUGACGGUACCUAAUCAGAAAGCCACGGCUAACUACGU
rnacentral:rRNA from 1 species